GAAGCAUCAUGAACCAGAGCAGAGUGCUGUUUACUCUGAGGUGAAGACGGGAGCUGCAGGAAAAUCAAGUCCUGCAGCUGAUGCAGCAGUUUAUUCUGAAGUCACAUUAGGAAGCUUUCCUGGUCAGUGAGGAGAGCUGCAGCAGCAAAAAGGAGCAUUUUAUGACUCCACUGUUGCUCCUCUGCUGCUCAAAUAUCAGACGUGCUCACUUUUUAGUGUUUAUGAAGAUGAUAUUGAAUAAUAAUAUGAUAUAGACUUGGUACUAUCUUUUAGCAUAAAGCACACAGAGGUGUGUCCUGUUUCAGAUCCAUGCUCUUUAUAUUCAGCUGAUAUUUUUUUAUUCAUUUUUAAGCUUUGAUAUACAAUUUUGAAUGUAUCCUGUUCCAAUAGCAAGUGAGAAAAAAGUUUUAAGUCUGUGUUUUUUAUUACCUGAAAGCAACAACUUAAAGUCAGCAGAGUCACAUUAGUGCUGGUAUGAACACCAACAAAUACUUUUACUGUCUGAGUUUAAAGAUCUGCAUCAUGCAAAAAUGAAUUAUUUGUGAAAAAGCUGAGCUUGAUUCAUUUGAUGUCAGAUACUGUGAAUUUUAUUUUUUAUUUAAUUUUAUUUUAAUAUUGUUUGCUGUUCUCACUUUUUCUGGAUUUAACAUUUUACUUUUUUUUAAGGUUAUAUAUUUUAAAUGU
ensembl:lncRNA